rnacentral:rRNA from 1 species
AAACGAUUAAAGCCAGUCGUACCGACGGAAAAUCAACUUCUCGGGUGCCUAUCGUGGGUGACGUUGAGCCUCACGGUCUUCGUCGCUUGUGUUGUUGGUACCUUUGGGGUGUACUUUUUCGUAUGGUAGGUCAAUAUCGAUUUUGACCGUCAUAAAAUGAUCGGAGGAAUGUGGCUUCGAUUUCGAUUGGAGUGUUAUAGCCUCUGGUAAAUGUGACGAUUGGGAUCGAGGAUUGCAAUGAAUACCCUUUUGGGCUAUCCGUCUGACCUCUAAAAGUUGCUUGGGUGUCGAAAGCUUGCUUAUGACUAUUCAAGUUGGCGGUUAACAGGUUAGAACGUGAUUAUAUUCAUUAAGGAUGUUGACGUAAUGGCUUUAAACGA